GUGCCAGCCGCCGCGGUAAUACGGAGGGUGCAAGCGUUAAUCGGAAUUACUGGGCGUAAAGCGCACGCAGGCGGUCUUGUCAAGUCGGAUGUGAAAUCCCCGGGCUCAACCUGGGAACUGCAUUCGAAACUGGCAGGCUAGAGUCUUGUAGAGGGGGGUAGAAUUCCAGGUGUAGCGGUGAAAUGCGUAGAGAUCUGGAGGAAUACC
rnacentral:rRNA from 1 species